AUUGAACGCUGGCGGCAGGCCUAACACAUGCAAGUCGAGCGGAUGAAGAGAGCUUGCUCUCUGAUUUAGCGGCGGACGGGUGAGUAAUGCCUAGGAAGCUGCCUGGUAGUGGGGGAUAACGUUCGGAAAGGAACGCUAAUACCGCAUACGUCCUACGGGAGAAAGCAGGGGACCUUCGGGCCUUGCGCUAUCAGAUGAGCCUAGGUCGGAUUAGCUAGUUGGUGAGGUAAUGGCUCACAAAGGCGACGAUCCGUAACUGGUCUGAGAGGAUGAUCAGUCACACUGGAACUGAGACACGGUCCAGACUCCUACGGGGGGCAGCAGUGGGGAAUAUUGGACAAUGGGCGAAAGCCUGAUCCAGCCAUGCCGCGUGUGUGAAGAAGGUCUUCGGAUUGUAAAGCACUUUAAGUUGGGAGGAAGGGCAGUAAGUUAAUACCUUGCUGUUUUGACGUUACCGACAGAAUAGGCACCGGCUAACUUCGUGCCAGCCGCCGCCGUAACAC
rnacentral:rRNA from 1 species